rnacentral:rRNA from 1 species
UACGAAGGGGGCUAGCGUUGUUCGGAAUUACUGGGCGUAAAGCGUGCGCAGGCGGCUUCUCAAGUCAGGGGUGAAAGCCCAGAGCUCAACUCUGGAAUUGCCUUUGAGACUGAGUGGCUUGAGUACGAGAGAGGUGAGUGGAAUUCCCAGUGUAGAGGUGAAAUUCGUAGAUAUUGGGAAGAACACCGGUGGCGAAGGCGGCUCACUGGCUCGUAACUGACGCUCAUGCGCGAUAGCGUGGGGAUCAAACAGG